rnacentral:rRNA from 1 species
GUGCGCGUGCUAUCAUGCAGUCCAGCGGACAGAUGGGAGCUUGCUCCCUGAYGUUAGCGGCGGACGGGUGAGUAACACGUGGGUAACCUGCCUGUAAGACUGGGAUAACUCCGGGAAACCGGGGCUAAUACCGGAUGCUUGAUUGAACCGCAUGGUUCAAUUAUAAAAGGUGGCUUUUAGCUACCACUUACAGAUGGACCCGCGGCGCAUUAGCUAGUUGGUGAGGUAACGGCUCACCAAGGCAACGAUGCGUAGCCGACCUGAGAGGGUGAUCGGCCACACUGGGACUGAAACACGGCCCAAACUCCUACGGGAGGCAGCAGUAGGGAAUCUUCCGCAAUGGACAAAAGUCUGACGGAGCAACGCCGCGUGAGUGAUGAAGGUUUUCGGAUCGAAAAACUCUGUUGUUAGGAAAAAACAAGUACCGUUCAAAUAGGGCGGAACCUUGACGGUACCUAACCAAAAAGCCACGGUUAACUACGUGCCAGCAGCCGCGUUAAUACGUAGGUGG